GAAAUUCCAUCAGAAGAAGAAGAAGAAAGCGUUACCAAUGGCUACGAAGAUAUACCAAUUAGUCCAGGUAUUUUUUUCUGUUACUUAUUAUAUUCUCUUAGAGAACAGUGUUAAGAUAUCUGGAGGUUUGAUUGUGUUUUGUUAAUUUUUUUAACAUUUUCUGUUUUGUUUUCUUUUUGACUUUUUUCUUCAUUUUGAUCUAUAGUUUUAUGAAGAAAAAAUAGAUCAGAGAAAGUAAAUCAAAAAGAAAAACUAAUGGAGUAAGACAACAUUUACGGUGGUAUUUAUAGUGAAUUUAGAAAUAGAUUUUUUGGUAACUAGUAGUAAAUGUUAGUUGACUGACAUUGUAAGUUGUGUUUAAAAAAUUGAAAACUAACGACAAAGCCUUUAAGUUUUUUAGUGGAAUAUUGUAUAUUUAUUGUUUUGGGUUCCGACAACAACUUAUA
rnacentral:lncRNA from 1 species